CUCAUCCAUAAUGUUAAUGUGAAACUGGCAAUUUUCUUGAACUAUAAUGUAGUAGAACUAACAAUGUAUGGUGCUUUGAAGUAUCAUUUCCUGGUUGGGUCCAUGCAUUUGUAUUUGCUUGAGAGACCUGCAUGUUCCUGCUUUGAUCCAGGUGUAGCAUGUGGCUGGGGACCCGAAAGAUGGUAAUCCAUGCUCAGUUGGGAUGAAGCCAGAGGAAACUCUGGUGAAAGAUUGAAGCACUUCUGAUGUGCAAAUUGAUCAUUGGAACCAGGUAUAGGGGGUGAAAGACCAAUUGGGCCAAAUAUUAGCUGG
rnacentral:rRNA from 1 species